UCUUCAUUUCACACACUCUCUCGUCACUCUGACCGGUGAGAGAGCACGCGAAAUGAAGAGA
rnacentral:pre_miRNA from 1 species